UGUGUGUGUGUAUGUGUGUGUGUGUGUGUGUGUGUGUUUAGAGACACACACACACACACACACACACACCUCUCACU
rnacentral:miRNA from 1 species